CAGCUUGCUGGGCGGAUUAGUGGCGAACGGGUGAGUAAUACGUGAGUAACCUGCCCUUGACUCUGGGAUAAGCCUGGGAAACUGGGUCUAAUACUGGAUACUACCGUCCACCGCAUGGUGGGUGGUGGAAAGGGUUUUACUGGUUUUGGAUGGGCUCACGGCCUAUCAGCUUGUUGGUGGGGUAAUGGCUCACCAAGGCGACGACGGGUAGCCGGCCUGAGAGGGUGACCGGCCACACUGGGACUGAGACACGGCCCAGACUCCUACGGGAGGCAGCAGUGGGGAAUAUUGCACAAUGGGCGGAAGCCUGAUGCAGCGACGCCGCGUGAGGGAUGACGGCCUUCGGGUUGUAAACCUCUUUCAGUAGGGAAGAAGCGAGAGUGACGGUACCUGCAGAAGAAGCGCCGGCUAACUACGUGCCAGCAGCCGCGGUAAUACGUAGGGCGCAAGCGUUGUCCGGAAUUAUUGGGCGUAAAGAGCUCGUAGGCGGUUUGUCGCGUCUGCUGUGAAAGCCCGGGGCUCAACCCCGGGUCUGCAGUGGGUACGGGCAGACUAGAGUGCAGUAGGGGAGACUGGAAUUCCUGGUGUAGCGGUGAAAUGCGCAGAUAUCAGGAGGAACACCGAUGGCGAAGGCAGGUCUCUGGGCUGUUACUGACGCUGAGGAGCGAAAGCAUGGGGAGCGAACAGGAUUAGAUACCCUGGUAGUCCAUGCCGUAAACGUUGGGCACUAGGUGUGGGGGACAUUCCACGUUUUCCGCGCCGUAGCUAACGCAUUAAGUGCCCCGCCUGGGGAGUACGGCCGCAAGGCUAAAACUCAAAGGAAUUGACGGGGGCCCGCACAAGCGGCGGAGCAUGCGGAUUAAUUCGAUGCAACGCGAAGAACCUUACCAAGGCUUGACAUUCACCGGACCGCCCCAGAGAUGGGGUUUCCCUUCGGGGCUGGUGGACAGGUGGUGCAUGGUUGUCGUCAGCUCGUGUCGUGAGAUGUUGGGUUAAGUCCCGCAACGAGCGCAACCCUCGUUCUAUGUUGCCAGCACGUGAUGGUGGGGACUCAUAGGAGACUGCCGGGGUCAACUCGGAGGAAGGUGGGGAUGACGUCAAAUCAUCAUGCCCCUUAUGUCUUGGGCUUCACGCAUGCUACAAUGGCCGGUACAAAGGGUUGCGAUACUGUGAGGUGGAGCUAAUCCCAAAAAGCCGGUCUCAGUUCGGAUUGAGGUCUGCAACUCGACCUCAUGAAGUCGGAGUCGCUAGUAAUCGCAGAUCAGCAACGCUGCGGUGAAUACGUUCCCGGGCCUUGUACACACCGCCCGUCAAGGCACGAAAGUUGGUAACACCCGAAGCCGGUGGCCUAA
rnacentral:rRNA from 1 species